UAUUAUCAUUAUUUUUAAGGAGCAUGGAACAGUUGUUUUGCCUCAGUUGAGAAAUCAAAGAGCCCCGUGGCUGAACGGAUAGUUCUUUCCUUGCUAGAAAACUCAGCAGAGGCUGUGGUUGGAGGAAACUGACCUUGGCUUGUGAAGUUGACAUACAAAUCAUCAAGAAUGUCCCUGAACAUUUUCUCUCAAGAUGAAGAAAACAUGCAGAAGGGAGGGGCAAGAUUCCUCUUUACUCUGAAUCUGUUGAGUUCCAUUUUCAAGUUUAUCCAAGGCUGUGCUUUGAACAGGCUGUCUACAGGAAACCAGAGUAAGAAUGUGACUUAGAAAGCCUUCUGCAAUUACUGAAGAAAUUUCAUUCCUAUCUUCAAGUGUCCCAGAAAAACUGCUGAUCAUCAAGCAAG